rnacentral:rRNA from 1 species
UACGUAGGGUCCGAGCGUUGUCCGGAAUUAUUGGGCGUAAAGAGCUCGUAGGCGGUCUGUCGCGUCGGCUGUGAAAACUCAGGGCUCAACCCUGGGAUGCCGGUCGAUACUGCCGGACUAGAGUUCGGAAGAGGCGAGUGGAAUUCCCGGUGUAGCGGUGAAAUGCGCAGAUAUCGGGAGGAACACCUAUGGCGAAGGCAGCUCGCUGGGACGUUACUGACGCUGAGACGCGAAAGCGUGGGGAGCAAACAGG